UACUCUGCAGUUUCAGGGUGCCCUGUCUGGCAGCCUCCCCAAGCGGCCGAACCCAAGACGGGAACAGCCAAGGACAAAUGCGGCCCGUAGACCCAGACCACGCCGACCACGUGUGUCCCAGCACCAGCUGCCCGUGACCUCUGACCCCAGCCGGAGACAGCACGUGGGCCGGGAGGCCAGGGCCCAGGCCCUGCCCAGAACACAAGCAGGACAUCCACUGCAAGGCAGGAAGUUCUGAGCCCUGCAACCUCAGCGGUUUAUUCUGCCCUGCCUGGAAGGGCUGACACGGCUUCAAGAUCAACACGGCUUCCCACCCCUUCCCGACCCUCUGGAGCCGAGGAGUGUCUGAUUUCCCGGUUCCCAAGCUCCACAAGGUCUGUGCGUGGAGCAGGGCCCUCCCCGGCCACCUCCCCGGCGCGAGUGCCUGCUGAGUUACUCAGAGGUUGGGCAAUGCUGUCGGGGAUCCGGCCUCCGGCUUACGUAAGCCGUAAUUACCCUGCCCACCCGGCUCCAGCCCACAGCCACCGCAGCCACUGGCAGCAGGGCCCAGGAAGGGCCCACACCCUCCCCAGGACCCCUCCAGGGAAGGAGGGGAGCAGAGGGGACAGCCCCUGAACAGGCACCCACUAAGUGCCCAGGCGCCCCCCCCAGGAGACUUCCCUCUUGCAGCCGCAUGGCUGAGGUCUCUCCAGCAAGGGAGGGGGGGGUUGAAAACGGCAACAGUAACGCUUGCAACAGCUACUCCCUUCCUGCACACCUACUGUGUGCACCUACUGUGUGCAGCUGAGCAGGCGCCUUGCUGGCUUGUGCACCUGCUGACCCCCUCUCUCACGUCACACGUCCCUGUCCACAGAAGUAGGUGUGACUGUCUCCCACCCCCCAUCUCACAGAUAAGGAAACAGACCCAGAGCCCGUCAUGGGGCUCCCCAGGGCGAGGCAACAGCAGGUUCACAGAGCCCAUUCAUUACAGCCAUGUCCGGUUUGGAAACCCCUCCCACCACCCAGCCUACCGAGACU